YUACGUGCCAGCAGCCGCGGUAAUACGGAAGGUCCGGGCGUUAUCCGGAUUUAUUGGGUUUAAAGGGAGCGUAGGCCGGAGAUUAAGUGUGUUGUGAAAUGUAGACGCUCAACGUCUGACUUGCAGCGCAUACUGGUUUCCUUGAGUACGCACAACGUUGGCGGAAUUCGUCGUGUAGCGGUGAAAUGCUUAGAUAUGACGAAGAACUCCGAUUGCGAAGGCAGCUGACGGGAGCGCAACUGACGCUUAAGCUCGAAGGUGCGGGUAUCGAACAGGAUUAGAUACCCUGGUAGUCCGCACAGUAAACGAUGGAUACCCGCUGUUGGUACCUGGUAUCAGCGGCUAAGCGAAAGCAUUAAGCAUCCCACCUGGGGAGUACGCCGGCAACGGUGAAACUCAAAGGAAUUGACGGGGGCCCGCACAAGCGGAGGAACAUGUGGUUUAAUUCGAUGAUACGCGAGGAACCUUACCCGGGCUUGAA
rnacentral:rRNA from 1 species